GCAGGUAGGCCUGGCCGGGAUAGCCACCCUGUCCGCUGGGCCUGGGGUCAGUGCCCUGGCCUGUUUGCCUAAGGGGGUGGGUUCAAGCUGGCAUGGAAGUGGCUCACUGCCAUGGCCAAGGCGAGCCGAGGGCCCCUCCUUCUGGGGCUCCAGGAGCAUCUUCGGAGCAACCAGCAACCGCCUAAAACCAAAGAUUAAGGUGAUACAACCUACAUCAAAGAGUCAUUGUGAGGACUGCACGACAUCCACAGCCCUCUUCACACCACGUUCUGCAAAUAAUAAUAACACCAAGAGGAAAAAGCUGUUUGAAUCCUCACAACGACCGGGCUGAGGCACUCCACUAUAACCACUCGGAUCUUAACAAGAGAGGCCAUUUCCAGCCAAAGGGUGGCUUUUUCUCUCCUGUCUCCUGCUCCCAAGAGAGACUGCGCUGCUGGGGAAAAGACAGCAAAACGGUCCCUCCUUCUGUUGUGGUUGUAAAGUGUCA